rnacentral:lncRNA from 1 species
AAAAAUGCAAACUUUUCAAAAAUAGCAGUUUUUAAGAAAAUUAUUAAAAAAUACAACCUAUUGAUGAAUAAUUCUGAAAGAAUACUCAAAUAUCCACAAAUAUUCUUGUUAUCUUAAUUUCUAAACCACAAACCCAAAUCUACAAUAUUUCUCUAAAAAAUGAAAACUUUCUAAAAAUAGCAGGUUUUGAGAAAAUUAUUUAAAAAUACAACCUAUUGAUGAAUAAUUCUGAAAGAAUACUCAAAUAUCCACAAAUAUUCUUGUUAUCUUAAUUUCUAAACCACAAACCCAAAUCUACAAUAUUUCUCUAAAAAAUGAAAACUUUCCAAAAAUAGCAGUUUUUGAGAAAAUUAUUUAAAAAUACAACCUAUUGAUGAAUAA